rnacentral:rRNA from 1 species
ACUCCUGCGGGAGGCAGCAGUGGGGAAUUUUGGACAAUGGGCGAAAGCCUGAUCCAGCAAUGCCGCGUGUGUGAAGAAGGCCUUCGGGUUGUAAAGCACUUUUGUCCGGAAAGAAAUCCUUGGCUCUAAUACAGUCGGGGGAUGACGGUACCGGAAGAAUAAGCACCGGCUAACUACGUGCCAGCAGCCGCGGUAAUACGUAGGGUGCGAGCGUUAAUCGGAAUUACUGGGCGUAAAGCGUGCGCAGGCGGUUUGCUAAGACCGAUGUGAAAUCCCCGGGCUCAACCUGGGAACUGCAUUGGUGACUGGCAGGCUAGAGUAUGGCAGAAGGGGGUAGAAUUCCACGUGUAGCAGUGAAAUGCGUAGAGAUGUGGAGGAAUACCGAUGGCGAAGGCAGCCCCCUGGGCCAAUACUGACGCUCAUGCACGAAAGCGUGGGGAGCAAACAGGAUUAGAUACCCCUGUAGUCCCAUG